AUGAUCGAGGUUGUCUUUUCGGAAGAGGUGGGUGGGAGUGGGGCAAGGCAAGAAAGUAACAAUCAUACCCGAUAUUCAGAGCGCCGGAGAUAGAAGCGGCGGCAGCCAUAAAGUGGAGAAUUUCCAUCCAUUUGCUGUCUCCUUCGCUACCGCUCCGUGGGGUCAACAUUACGAAAUUAGCCAGGUUCAGUUCUGACUAUAGCUGCAACCUAUCUCAUAUUUGGCCGCCCUCGAUCACAAACUAGAAAUUUGAAGGUGGGAGUGGGGAAAGGCAUUAAAGUAACAAUCAUACCCAAUAUUCAGAGCACCAGAGAUGGAAGCGGCGACAGCCAUAAAGUGGAGAAUUUCCAUCCAUUUGCUGUCUCCUUCGCUACCACUCUGUAGGGUAAACAUUCCGAAAUUAGCCAGGUUCAGUUCUGACUAUA
rnacentral:lncRNA from 1 species